UAGGACCUACGGGACGCAGCAGUGAGGAAUAUUGGUCAAUGGCCGCAGGGCUGAACCAGCCAAGUCGCGUGAGGGAUGACGGUCCUAUGGAUUGUAAACCUCUUUUGUCGGGGAGCAAGGCCCGCCACGUGUGGCGGGAAGGAGAGUACCCGAAGAAAAAGCAUCGGCUAACUCCGUGCCAGCAGCCGCGGUAAUACGGAGGAUGCGAGCGUUAUCCGGAUUUAUUGGGUUUUAAGGGUGCGUAGGCGGAAUGUUAAGUC
rnacentral:rRNA from 1 species